rnacentral:piRNA from 1 species
UGCAGAUACCACGUUGCCUAAAAGUUUCC